CAAAUUACCUGUCCCGAAAUGUCACGGGUGUCUACCUUGAGAAACUUUUCUAUACCGGGAUAUUUUCCUGCCCCCAACCAGAUUCUGGAGCUUUGUGAGUUCUCACAGCGACCUGCAAAUCAUUACUAUAGAGAUAGGUCAUUUAAGUUGGCAAGGUGUUCCAGACUUAAACCAGCUUAAUUCAAAUAGAGAAUCAAUUAUGGCCCAAGUUAGAGAGCUAUUAUUCAUAUGUCCUGUUUAUAAGGGCUACCUGACCAACUCUCAGGGAUUACAAAGUGCUCUCAUUAGCUGCUUCCAUUAGGUCCUGGGACCUGUCUUGCCUAAAAUUUCUCAUGCCUAGACAGAAAUAUCAUGAAACAUGGAUCUGGGUCUGCUCACUCAUCAUCAGAAAACAAAUGUGACUUUACGUUCUAUUUUUUUUUUCCUAAUAUGAAUCUCACACUGUAAAAAUAAAGCUUAUUAAACAACGAAAGCUUAAGAAACUUCCUCAUGACACCCUUCCAAGACCUCUGAGGUCUCAGGGUAUGAAAAGCUGGGAUAUAAACCACUCUGGAUAAUGACAUUGUUAACACACACACAUUAGGGCUCCACCUUCUCCUUCCCAAGGAACUCAAAUUAGUUGCACAUUUCUCGGAAUAUCAGAAGUCGAGCUUUGAAAAUAAAAUAAAUGUACGUGGUUCAAAAGAAAGCAGCAAUUCCUUCCAAAGUCAGGUCUUAAAGACUCCGACCAAGUGACUAUCCUACAUCCUGCUCUAAUCACUCCAAACCUGCCCGUGGAAGAAGUUCGAGCAAUGCUGUUACCUUUUCUUGAUAUUUUUAAAAAAAAUUCUUCUAAGGAACCAGGUGCUAUCUGAGCUGGGAGGUUUUCUUUCUUUCAUUUUGUUAUUUGUUUUUUUUUUCCCUCAGAAGCAGCCAAGAGUGCCAGAAUGGAAGUGUCUGCUUGGAAGAAAUGUAGGACUACAAAAGCAAAUACUGGGAACCUUGUAAGAUCGUCUCCAAAAUAUGCCCUUAGAAAGAAUGAAAAGAAAGUCCUAGGUGCUCUUAAAAUCACAUUCCUCCCUCGUCAGAAGGACACCAAACGUACACCUAGUAAUAGGGGCUGCCUGAUGUAUGGGAAAAUAACCUUCCCAGUAGUCCAUGCAUCUAGACUAGGUUUAGUUAUUGCUUCCUUUGGAUGGGUUUUGGGAGACUUAAGUGCUUUGUGAUCAGUGAAUGGCAGUUGAGAUAAAAACUAGGAAUAAAGAAAACCAACUCUUUGCCUUUAAAUAGAAGUGGUUCCAGUUUCCUUUUACAAGCCCGAAGGGUUGUUGUACAUAUUAAAACUGCUGCACAGCUCCAUCCCUGGUCGCAGAAAUUCUCCCUCCACCCCCCAGCCUCCCCCCACCCCUACCCCCCAGGAAGAUGUCAGAUCUCUGGGAAACAGCAGUUACAAAAGGAUGCUUUUCAUAGCUUGUACUAGAAAACGCUGGCAUCCCAUCCCUGCAUAAAAUAGCACUAAACUGAGUCACAAUGCCGGAAGCUGUGCCUUCUGCUUCUCUUCAAUGGGAUCUAGAUAAUUUCUAGAGAAAAUAUGAAAUAAUAUAUUGCAUAGUUUUUUUUUUUUUUUUUUUUUUUUUUUGCCCGUGCAUGUGACACGCUGGUUCUUCUCAUCUCCCGCUUGCCCUAGAUAAUUUUAAGCUUUAUCCAUCCGUGUACCAGGCGAGAGAGAGAGAGAGAGAACGCAGUUAACAAGAUGACAGUGUUAUCUAGGUAUUUGGCAUCAAUAUUAGCAAGAGUCUGUCAUUUGACAAUUAUUUCCCUGGCAUGCCAGACGCUAAAGAAAAUGUUUUCAUUCAUCUGCAAAUGACUAACAUUUUAUUGAUGUCUCGGAACGCGGCUGAACACUACUG
rnacentral:lncRNA from 1 species